rnacentral:rRNA from 1 species
AUCCUGGCUCAGAUUGAACGCUGGCGGCAUGUCUUACACAUGCAAGUCGAACGGUAACGCGGGGCAACCUGGCGACGAGUGGCGAACGGGUGAGUAAUGCAUCGGAACGUACCCAGUAGUGGGGGAUAGCCCGGCGAAAGCCGGAUUAAUACCGCAUACGACCUAAGGGUGAAAGCGGGGGACCGUAAGGCCUCGCGCUAUUGGAGCGGCCGAUGUCAGAUUAGGUAGUUGGUGGGGUAAAGGCCUACCAAGCCUUCGAUCUGUAGCUGGUCUGAGAGGACGACCAGCCACACUGGGACUGAGACACGGCCCAGACUCCUACGGGAGGCAGCAGUGGGGAAUUUUGGACAAUGGGCGAAGGCCUGAUCCAGCCAUGCCGCGUGCGGGAAGAAGGCCUUCGGGUUGUAAACCGCUUUUGUCAGGGAAGAAACGCUCUGGGCUAAUACCCUGGGGUAAUGACGGUACCUGAAGAAUAAGCACCGGCUAACUACGUG